AGGAACUUGCAAGACGUUGAAUUGUUUGGUAGACAUCACUCUACAUGUUUACGUAUUUCACUUUUGGUAGUACUGACUGACGUCAUUACCCACACAGUGUGAAAGUUUAGUACUGGACUGUUGAAAGAACGUCUGCUCCAGGAGCCUUAAAGGUUAAGAUUUGCGACAUUCUUGUGUUUUAUUUUUGACCUCAGUGAUCCUCUAAACUCUACAAGCGAGAUUGUUUCGUCGGGAAGCCACUGCAUGCAGAUUUCGCUGUCUGACGUAUACUUCGAGCGCUUGUUUUUGACCUAGCCAGCGCGCAUGCGCAUGGCGGUGAAUACCCGAAUGUACUAGUUUGAAAUUUUAGGUGGGGAAGUACCUGAAUUCGAUGAAAGAACAGGAGACCAAGAAAAGUUUUCACCGCCAGAGAACUACUUUAUGUAGGUUUUCUCCCCAAUGGGAAAUGUUCAAAUGGCUCUGAGCACUAUGCGACUUAUCCCCCAAUGGAAGGAUAGAAAUGCACAGGUUGUGGUAACAGACCAAUCCAUAGCACAACCCAAGGUUUAUAAUGGGUUUGAAGAUGGCAGUUUGGUUGCAAGUUGGCGAACCAAGUGAAUCAAAUAUGGAAUUUAUGAUGUGGUGCGACACUGAUCUGUAGUGAUAGCCCAAGUUCUAUGUUAGAUUGGCAGUAUUGAGUGCUUCUGUUAAUCCAAAAAUCUUGUUAAAUAUCGAGUUAAUAUUGGAAAUGAUAGAUUCUUUGUGAUACAGGCUGCACUACAAUUUUGUGACCAGUGUCUAGUCUAGA